rnacentral:rRNA from 1 species
UACGUAGGGUGCGAGCGUUGUCCGGAAUUACUGGGCGUAAAGAGCUCGUAGGUGGUUUGUCGCGUUGUCCGUGAAAACUCACAACUCAAUUGUGGGCGUGCGGGCGAUACUGGCAGACUGGAGUACUGCAGGGGAGACUGGAAUUCCUGGUGUAGCGGUGGAAUGCGCAGAUAUCAGGAGGAACACCGGUGGCGAAGGCGGGUCUCUGGGAUGAUGCUGACGCUGAGGCGCGAAAGCCAGGGGAGCAAACGGG